rnacentral:rRNA from 1 species
GACGAACCGUGAGACCGUUGUUCGGAAUCACUGGGCUUAAAGGGCGCGUAGGCGGCCCACCAAGUCCGGGGUGAAAUCCUUCGGCUUAACCGGAGAAUUGCCUGGGAUACUGGUGGUCUUGAGGGAGGUAGGGGCACGCGGAACUUCCGGUGGAGCGGUGAAAUGCGUUGAUAUCGGAAGGAACGCCGGUGGCGAAAGCGGCGUGCUGGCCCUCUUCUGACGCUGAGGCGCGAAAGCUAGGGGAGCAAACAGG